rnacentral:rRNA from 1 species
GAUGAACGCUGGCGGCGUGCCUAAUACAUGCAAGUCGAGCGAACGGACGAGAAGCUUGUUUCUCUGAUGUUAGCGGCGGACGGGUGAGUAACACGUGGAUAACCUACCUAUAAGACUGGGAUAACUUCGGGAAACCGGAGCUAAUACCGGAUAAUAUUUUGAACCGCAUGGUUCAAAAGUAAAAGACGGUCUUGCUGUCACUUAUAGAUGGAUCCGCGCUGCAUUAGCUAGUUGGUAAGGUAACGGCUUACCAAGGCAACGAUGCAUAGCCGACCUGAGAGGGUGAUCGGCCACACUGGAACUGAGACACGGUCCAGACUCCUACGGGAGGCAGCAGUAGGGAAUCUUCCGCAAUGGGCGAAAGCCUGACGGAGCAACGCCGCGUGAGUGAUGAAGGUCUUCGGAUCGUAAAACUCUGUUAUUAGGGAAGAACAUAUGUGUAAGUAACUGUGCACAUCUUGACGGUACCUAAUCAGAAAGCCACGGCUAACUACGUG